AACGAACGCUGGCGGCAUGCCUAACACAUGCCAGUCGAACGAGACCUUCGUGUCUAGUUGCUCACGGGUGCGUAACGCGUGGGAACCUGCCCUUAGGUUCCGAAUACCUCCCCUAAGGGGGUGCUAAUACCGGAUAAUUUAUUCUAACAAAAGAUUUAUCGCCUUUGGUUGGGCCCGCGUUGGUUUGACUGGUUGGUAGCGUAAAAGCCUACGAAGGCUACGAUCCAUAGCUGGUCUGAGAGGAUGAUCAGCGACACUGGGACUGAGACACGGCCCAGACUAUUACGGGAGGGAGGAGUGGGUAAUAUUGGAAAAUGGGCGAAAGCAUGAUGCAGCAAGGCUGGGUGAGUGAUGAAGGCGUUAGAGUAGUAAAGCUCUUUUACCCGGGAUUAUAAUGACAGUACCGAGAGAAUAAGCACCGGCUAACUCCGUG
rnacentral:rRNA from 1 species